UCAGUCACAGAGCUGAAGGGACUUGGAGAGGAAUUUAGUUCAUCUCUCAGCCCCUGGCAAGACCCUCUCUCCUCCUCUGCCCUUUCCAACCAAUGAACCCUGAAUGUGCAGCAGAAACUCUCAUUCCCCAGUUCAGGCACCUGUUUCCUCAACUGUGACUCAUUGUACAUCUCGUCUCUGAACGCUGCUCACCGGGCGGGAGACAGAGCAGGGAGGGAAUGACUCAGAGCGAGUGAGGGAUGAGGAAUUUGGAAUUGGAGCAGGCAGGUCAAGAGUGAGCUGAGUGACAGGCUGAGGAAUUUGGAAUUGGAGCAGGAAGGUCACGGGAGGAAAGGACCCGCUGCGCCCUCUGCAAGGCAGAAGCAGCACUGGAGCCAGGGACCAGGUUCUGCACUCAGGGAGGAAAAUGUGAGAUUUCAACUGCAGCUUCAUUGCGACCUGGACUGCAGAGCUGGCCCAGCACCAGCCCUGCCCUUCUUGUCACCUGAUGUGACCUAGAUUCAAGCCGUUUUUGUGCAAGAAGGUUUUGAGUGGACUUAGAAAGCAGAGAUCAGAUGUGAGAGAUGGCUCUUAAGCGUAAUCUUUAAAAAGAUACAUAAAAUAGGUGUAUUUCCAAACUUUGUAACAACCUUUAUCAGCUGCUUAAAACCUGCCUCUGCCAGCAGCUUUCAUUCAGAGGUUUUGAUAAACCAUUGUUGAAUUAUAGAAGUGAUUCUUUUUUACUGAAGGCUUAAUGGCACAAUAAAGUAGACAUUAUU